rnacentral:misc_RNA from 1 species
GAUGAAGAACGCAGCGAAAUGCGAUAAGUAAUGUGAAUUGCAGAAUUCAGUGAAUCAUCGAAUCUUUGAACGCACAUUGCGCCCGCCAGUAUUCUGGCGGGCAUGCCUGUUCGAGCGUCAUUACAACCCUCAGGCCCCCGGGCCUGGCGUUGGGGAUCGGCGGAGCCCCCCGUGGGCACACGCCGUCCCCCAAAUACAGGGGCGGUCCCACCGCAGCUUCCAUCGCGUAGUAGCUAACACCUCGCGACUGGAGAGCGGCGCGGCCACGCCGUAAAACACCCAACUCUUCUGAAGUUGACCUCGAAUCAGGUAGGAAUACCCGCUGAACUUAAGCAUAUCAAUAAGCGGAGGA